AGACAAAUGGAAGAAGCAAGAGGCAGGAAAUAAUGUCUUCCCAAACCAGGAUCAGAAAGAAAGAAGAGUUGCAAGAAACAAUCUGUGGGGAGAAACAUUUUAGAGCUUUCUCAGUUUUACAGAACAUUUUCUACAGUUGAAUGCUAAUUCUCCUGCCCCGCCUCCACCCCUUUUAUACUUCCUCGUCAAAACCUGCCUUUAUGAGAGACCCAUAUUAUUAAAUAGCCGGCUGCACCAAUGA